rnacentral:rRNA from 1 species
CCUACGGGGGGCAGCAGUGAGGAAUAUUGGUCAAUGGCCGGAAGGCUGAACCAGCCAUGCCGCGUGAAGGUCAGUGCCCUAUGGGCGUUAAACUUCUUUUGUGCGGGAGCAAUAAUGGUCACGUGUGGCCAGACGAGAGUACCGUACGAAUAAGCAUCGGCUAACUCCGUGCCAGCAGCCGCGGUAAGACGGGGGAUGCAAACGUUAUCCGGAGUUAAUGGGUUUAAAGGGUGCGUAGGCGGUGAGGUAAGUCAGCGGGGAAAUGCCCCCGCUCAACGGGGUGAAGUGCCAUUGAGACUGCCUGGCUUGAAUGCUGAUGCCGUGGGAGGAAUGUGUGGUGUAGCGGUGAAAUGCAUAGAUAUCACACAGAACACCGAUUGCGAAGGCAUCUCACGAAUCCGCGAUUGACGCUGAUGCACGAAAGCGUGGGUAUCAAACAGGAUUAGAUACCCGAGUAGUC